CACAACCUUCAUUUUUAUUUUUGUCAAGGUUAAAUUAGGCCAACACAAACUUUAAUCAAUGUAGUGGUUGUACAUAUAUAAUAGGAUUGGUGAGUAUGGGAUGCCAGUUGAAUAUUUUUUAUAACCUCUUGCUACGUAUACAUGUUGAAAGACAUAGACAGCCCAAGCAAUCGUGUUAUAGGGCUGGUGUGGGUGUUUGGAACAUCAAUGCCGGGUAAAUUUCACUCGGAUUUUAGAAUUUGAAGUAUAUUUUUAGUUGUUCGAAUUCUAGAAUCUAAUCUGGGAGAAUACAUAGAUUUUUAGUUGCCUCGCCG
rnacentral:lncRNA from 1 species